rnacentral:misc_RNA from 1 species
AGUGGGAGCGAGCCUGCUCGCGAUGCAGACAACGCGGUUUUAGGAUGAACCGUGGUGAUGCCAUCGCGAGCAGGCUCGCUCCCACA